AGCGGCGUUUGGCAAUGGAGCAAAGGGGGAGUCAGGUGGAAUUGGAGGGAUGACAGCUGAUUGAUAGCGAGGAGUGCUGAUGGUUGAGGGAAAAAAGUAGGAUGAAAGGAAGUGGCUGAAUUCUGGCACUAAGACUGGACUGCAGCCCCUGUGAUCAGAGUACAAGGUGCAUCAUGUGACUAUGCUGCCUGACCUGCUGGGUUUCUCCACCAUUUUGUGUGUGUUGGUUGGCAUCUGUCUGUCUGGAAGGACAAUGGGUGAUGAUAAUCUUCAUCACAAGCCUGGGCGGAAGAUCACAUGUUUCUCCCUGUUGGAGGCAACUUAUUGGACAAACAAUUCUUCAAACUUCCAGUGGUUCCUCAUUGUUGAAGCAGAACUUUUUCUUUAUUAUGCUUCCCAGUUUCUCUCUGAAGGCUUGCUCCAGA